CCCGGGCCUUGUACACACCGCCCGUCACACCACGAAAGUUGGCAACACCCGAAGUCGGUGAGCUAACCCGUAAGGGAUGCAGCCGCCUAAGGUGGGGUUAAUGAUUGGGGUG
rnacentral:rRNA from 1 species